rnacentral:rRNA from 1 species
UACGGAGGGUGCAAGCAUUAAUCGGAUUUAUUGGGCGUAAAGGGCGCGUAGGCGGGGAAAUAAGUCGGACGUGAAAUCCCGGGGCUCAACCCCGGAACAGCAUCUGAAACUGUUUUUCUUGAGGGUAGGCGGAGAAAACGGAAUUCCACAAGUAGCGGUGAAAUGCGUAGAUAUGUGGAAGAACAUCUGUGGCGAAGGCGGUUUUCUAGCUUACACCUGACGCUGAGGCGCGAAAGCAAGGGGAUCAAACAGG